rnacentral:rRNA from 1 species
UGGCUCAGAUUGAACGCUGGCGGCAUGCCUUACACAUGCAAGUCGAACGGCAGCGGGGGUGCUUGCACCUGCCGGCGAGUGGCGAACGGGUGAGUAAUGCAUCGGAACGUACCCAGUCGUCUGGGAUAACGCAGCGAAAGCUGUGCUAAUACCGCAUACGUCCUGAGGGAGAAAGCAGGGGAUCUUCGGACCUUGUGCGAUUGGAGCGGCCGAUGUCAGAUUAGCUAGUUGGUGAGGUAAAAGCUCACCAAAGCGACGAUCUUUAGCUGGUCUGAGAGGAUGAUCAGCCACACUGGAACUGAGACACGGUCCAGACUCCUACCGGAGGCAGCAGUUGGGAAUUUUGGACAAUGGGGGCAACCCUGAUCCAGCCAUGCCGCGUGAGUGAAGAAGGCCUUCGGGUUGUAAAGCUCUUUCGGCCGGGAAGAAAUCGUGAAGGCUAAUACCCUGUAUGGAUGACGGUACCGGAAUAAGAAGCACCGGCUAACUACGUGCCAGCAGCCGCCGUAAUACGUAGGGUGCGAGCGUUAAUCGGAAUUACUGGGCGUAAAGCGUGCGCAGGCGGUUUUGUAAGACAGGCGUGGAAUCCCCGGGCUCAACCUGGGAACUGCGCUUGUGACUGCAAGACUAGAGUACGGCAGACCGGGGUGGAAUUCCACGUGUAGCAGUGAAAUGGGUAGAGAUGUGGAGGAACACCAAUGGCGAAGGCAGCCCCCUGGGUCGAUACUGACGCUCAUGCACGGAAGCGUGAGGAGCAAACAAGAUUAGAUACCCUGGUAGUCCACGCCCUAAACGA